rfam:Stegodyphus mimosarum contig126959, whole genome shotgun sequence.
GCCUUCGUGGUGUAACGGUUAGCACACUCGGCGCAUAUUAGAGAGAUCCAGGUUCGAGUCCCGGCGAGGGUA